rnacentral:rRNA from 1 species
GGAUUAGAUACCCUGGUAGUCCACGCCGUAAACGAUGGUCACUAGCUGUUUGGACUUCGGUCUGAGUGGCUAAGCGAAAGUGAUAAGUGACCCACCUGGGGAGUACGUUCGCAAGAAUGAAACUCAAAGGAAUUGACGGGGGCCCGCACAAGCGGUGGAGCAUGUGGUUUAAUUCGAUGAUACGCGAAGAACCUUACCUGGGCUCUAAUGCGAGUGACCGCUCCUGAAAGGGAGCUUUCCUUCGGGACACGAAGCAAGGUGCUGCAUGGUUGUCGUCAGCUCGUGUUG